rnacentral:rRNA from 1 species
UAUAAUAUAGUGUUAAUUCACUGGAUCCCAUUAGAACUUCAUAGUUAAGUGCGCUUGGGCUAGAGUAGUAUUGGGAUGGGUGACCACUCAGGAAGUCCUUGUGUUUUAC